rnacentral:rRNA from 1 species
AACGAACGCUGGCGGCAUGCCUAACACAUGCAAGUCGAACGAGACCUUCGGGUCUAGUGGCGCACGGGUGCGUAACGCGUGGGAACCUGCCCUUAGGUUCGGAAUAACUCCCCGAAAGGGGUGCUAAUACCGGAUAAUGUCUUCGGACCAAAGAUUUAUCGCCUUUGGAUGGGCCCGCGUUGGAUUAGCUAGUUGGUAGGGUAAAAGCCUACCAAGGCGACGAUCCAUAGCUGGUCUGAGAGGAUGAUCAGCCACACUGGGACUGAGACACGGCCCAGACUCCUACGGGAGGCAGCAGUGGGGAAUAUUGGACAAUGGGCGAAAGCCUGAUCCAGCAAUGCCGCGUGAGUGAUGAAGGCCUUAGGGUUGUAAAGCUCUUUUACCCGGGAUGAUAAUGACAGUACCGGGAGAAUAAGCUCCGGUUAACUCCGUG